rnacentral:tRNA from 1 species
UAGUAGCUCAGUUGGUUAGAGCGCCGGGUUGUGGCUCCGGAGGUCGAGGGUUCAAUCCCCUUCUA